rnacentral:rRNA from 1 species
UACGUAGGGUGCGAGCGUUAAUCGGAAUUACUGGGCGUAAAGCGUGCGCAGGCGGUUUUGUAAGUCUGACGUGAAAUCCCCGGGCUUAACCUGGGAAUUGCGUUGGAGACUGCAAGGCUAGAAUCUGGCAGAGGGGGGUAGAAUUCCACGUGUAGCAGUGAAAUGCGUAGAGAUGUGGAGGAACACCGAUGGCGAAGGCAGCCCCCUGGGUCAAGAUUGACGCUCAUGCACGAAAGCGUGGGGAGCAAACAGG